rnacentral:lncRNA from 1 species
UUCAAGAAAAUUAUGAGAAAGUCUUUCGGCUAGUUACAUUAAACUCGCGAUUUAAUGCAUCAUAUAUAAGUAAAUGUAAACGCAUGUUACAGGUUUUCCGUCAACUGCAGCGUAUGCCGCAUACACGGCUGGCCGCGCAGGAUAUUCUGGCUACCCCAGCUUUGGACUACCUUAUCCUGCAGGGGCCAUUGAUUCCGGCUGCAUUCACCAACGGUUACCAUUGAGUGCCAUUGUAUAGUCACGAGCAUAUGCCAACUGAUCUUUGAGGUAAGGUAUACUAUUAUGAAUUUGUAACCAACCAAGCCGCUCGUGGCUUUAGUACACUUUAAGUGAUUUAAUCACUGUACCAGCCUGUGCUCCAU